rnacentral:rRNA from 1 species
UACGUAGGGGGCUAGCGUUGUCCGGAUUUAUUGGGCGUAAAGAGCGUGUAGGCGGCCAUGUAGGUCCGGUGUGAAAACUCGAGGCUUAACCUCGAGAUGUCAUCGGAAACCAUUUGGCUAGAGUCCGGAAGAGGAGAGUGGAAUUCCUGGUGUAGCGGUGAAAUGCGCAGAUAUCAGGAGGAACACCGGUGGCGAAGGCGGUUCUCUGGGACGGUACUGACGCUGAGACGCGAAAGCGUGGGGAGCGAACAGG